UUUCACUCAGAGGGUGGUGACUCAAGAAUCACAGAAUCAUAGAAUGGCCCAUGUUGGAAGGGACCUCAAGGAUCAUGAAUCUUCAACCCCCCUGCCAUAGGCAGGGCCACCAACCUCCCCAUCUAAUGCUAGACAUUCUGUACAUUCUGUGAUUCUGUGCUCAUAUGGAACUUCCUACAUCUCAGUUUUUUUUUGCCAUUGCCCCUUGCUCUGUUGCUGAGCACCACUGGAAAGAGCCUGACUCCAUCCACUUGACUCCCACCCAUUAGGUAUUUAUAAGCACUGAUAAGAUCCCCUCAGUCUUUUCCAGGCUGAACACUCCCUGGCCUCUCAGCCUUUCCUCAUAAAGGAGAUGCUCCAGGACCCUCACCAUCUUUGCGGACUGUCAAUGGAUUCUUUCUAGGAGAUCCCUGUCUUUCUUGAAUUGAGGAGCCUGGAACUGGACACAGCAUUCCAGAUGUGGCAUCACCAGGGCAGAAUACAGAGGGAGAGUAACCUCCCUUGCCCUGCUGCUGGCCAGAUUCCUUUUAAUGAAUCCCAGGAUAGCAUUGGUUUUCUUGGACGCCAGUGCACACUGCUGGCUCACAGUCAACCUGUUGGUCACCAGGACAACUAGGUCCUUCCCUGCGGAGCUCCUUCCCAGCACGUCACCCCCUACCCUGUAUUGAUGCAAGCAGUUAUUCCUCCCCAGGUGUAGGACUCUAUACACUAGCUCUUGCUGAACUUCGUUGGGUUCCUCUGCACCCAACUCUCCAGCCUCUCGUGGGGUCUCGUGGAAUUGCAGCACAGACUUUUGGUUUGUCAGCCACUCUUCCCAGCUUUGCACCAUCAGGAAACCUGCUCAGGGUGCAUUCUAUCCCGCCAUCUUGGUCACCGAUGAAGAUGUUGAACAAAACUGGGCCUACUACCAACCCCUGGGGAGUACCACCAGCUACAGGCUUCCAACUAGACACUGUGCUGCUGAUCACAGCUCUCUGAGCUCUGCCAGUCAGCCAGUUCUCAGCCAUCCUCACUGUCCACUCAUCUGUCCCACACUUCCUAAGCUUACCUGCAAGGAUGCACUGGGAGACAGUGUCCAAAGCCUUGCUGAAAUGAAGGUACACAACAUCCACUGCUUUCCUCUCAUCUACCCAGCUGCUCAUGACAGUCACUUGGUGAAGGCACUGCAGAUGAAUAAGGGUAAAAUUACACAGCUGUAAAAUGACUGUAUUUAACAUGCAAACUUUCCAGCUUAACAAAAAACAUGAGUAAUCCCAUUCUGUCAAACUUUGUGGCAGUGAUGGUGGAGGCUGUAUGUUCUGAUAAUUCCCUGGUUACAUCUCAUUACACCUUGUCUAAUUUCCUCACCUGAGGCUGCAUCUUCUCAUGUUCACCUGACACAACCAGAGGAGAUCAUGCAACUGAUAUAACAAGGUGCCCAACGCUUGCAGUGCUGAGCAACAUCAUUAAUGAUCAUGAAAUGCUUUCCUUCUCACAAGAAAAGCAGGAAAAAAAAAACCACACUAUUUUUCCUUUCUUCAUCAGCUUUUAUCAAAUACAGUGAUUGACCCAUCCUGCUGGGUGCAGUGUUAAAUAUCAGUGGUUUCAAUAGGUGUCAGUGGGAGAACAGUCUCUGCUUUGAUGCUGCAUAGUCUGUAUGUCCAUCCCUCUUAUCUCAGCUAAGCAGCUGGGCUACAAAUCAGGAGUGAAGCCAGGUGAGGGGACCUGUGACAGAGCUGUGAGGGAGGACAGGGAGUUAGCAGUGCUCAGUCCCUGGCAACAGGGAGCUAUGGCAGACAUCAGGCCCCUGAUACGGCGUCACUGGGUGGGAAGGGGCAGCGCCAGCACCAAUGGAGAAUAUCCUUCCCCACAGCGCAGGCAGCACCCUGGCUUGGCAUGGAGCACCUGGGAGGUAAGUGUGUGGCUUGGGAUGGCAGCAAGCGAUUUGGAUGGGGAGUUGAGGGCUUCUCACUGCUCUUGCUAUCUGACACAGAGCUAUACGCUCAUAACCGUGGCUCGCUCUGCCUUACGCAGUGUGGGCUUUGUUUUUCCUUGGUUUGGGAAGGGCACAUAAGGGGGGCUGGACUGCUGAGAUCUGUCUGCACUCCAGGAAUAGGUGUGAGCAGUGGCGGUUGGUUCUCACACCGUCCUUGUGGAUUCCUUUGGGGCACGUUUGCACUGUGACUUUGAAUAGUUCUUCCCUAACGCUGUUAGGCCAGUGCCUUGAGCCCAGCUUAUAAUUAUUUUUCUUCAAGAGGACUGCUGAAAAAUGAGGUGAUAUUAACUUGGGACUCAACCAGGACCUUUCCUGCCAGAUUAAAUGGAUGCUAGAAGCUGCUCUGAAUCAAAGGUUGCUUUGACUUUCUGUGGUUGUGUGAGGCCUUCUGCGUUUCUCUUCGGGGAACAUGCUCAGGAGGCUCUAUAGCUCAUAUGAGUAUUUGCUGUAGCCAGUCCCUGGCUCCUUUCUCUCCUCACAUUUCCUGUUUUGCAGCUGCUGGCUGUGCUGGCAGCCAGCCUGCUGCUGCUCUGCAUCCCGCUGUGCUACCAGGCCUUUCAUUUCCACGUGGCACAGGCCUACGCACGCCUUGGGUACCCGCACGCCCAGCACAUUGUGGGGCAGAGGUAUCUGCAAGGUAACCUUUGCUGUUGGAGGACAUCUGUGCAUGAGAAUCUCAAAUGUGGCUCUGCAUGCUGGGUUUGGCCACUGUGUUUUACGUCAUCACCGUGACUUCACCGCCUUGCCUUUAUCUCAGGUGCUGGAGUGGAAAAAAAUGAGGAGCUGGCCAUGCACUGGUUCAGGCAGGCAGCAGGACAGGGCCAUCCGCACUCCUCCUUCAACCUGGCACUGGGAGCUCUCAGCAACAUGACAGUGGCACUGGAGGACAGGGAAGUGGAGAAACUCCUUGGUGUGGCUGCAGCCCAUGGGCUCCGAGAAGCUCAGGAACUUUUGGAGAACAUCCUCAAGAGCAGAAAGCUGCCCUGAACACCUGCACCAGCUUUGCCUUCUUCUGCACCUUUACUGAAAGCUAAUUACAAGCUGGAGAUCACAUCUCACAGCAACUCAUCUGCUGAUAUUAAGUUAGAUCCAGAUACUGACCUGGGCUUGAUGCUGUGGUUGUGCUGUGUCUAUUUCAUGCUCUGCUUAUUUGCUGCAAGAGGUGAUCGUGACUGAAGCUUUGUUGUCAUUAGUCAGCAUGAUGUGUGUGAGUGAUGUCAUCUGUAAUAUAAAUAACAGUGGUUCAAAGAAAGUAUUAUGGUUAAGAUAAAUAAAACCUUCACAUAUCA